rnacentral:rRNA from 1 species
AUUGAACGCUGGCGGCAGGCCUAACACAUGCAAGUCGAGCGGAUGAGAGGAGCUUGCUUCUCGAUUCAGCGGCGGACGGGUGAGUAAUGCCUAGGAAUCUGCCUGGUAGUGGGGGACAACGUUUCGAAAGGAACGCUAAUACCGCAUACGUCCUACGGGAGAAAGCAGGGGACCUUCCGGCCUUGCGCUAUCAGAUGAGCCUAGGUCGGAUUAGCUAGUUGGUGAGGUAAUGGCUCACCAAGGCGACGAUCCGUAACUGGUCUGAGAGGAUGAUCAGUCACACUGGAACUGAGACACGGUCCAGACUCCUACGGGAGGCAGCAGUGGGGAAUAUUGGACAAUGGGCGAAAGCCUGAUCCAGCCAUGCCGCGUGUGUGAAGAAGGUCUUCGGAUUGUAAAGCACUUUAAGUUGGGAGGAAGGGUUGUAGAUUAAUACUCUGCAAUUUUGACGUUACCGACAGAAUAAGCACCGGCCAACUCUGUGCCAGCAGCCGCCGUAAAAC